UUUUGAUAAAUUAUUUAAACCGACUGUAGCAAUUAACAAUGUCGUAAGUGAAAAACCGCUACUUUUCAGUAGAGCCGUUUUAAGUUUUAAAUAUGACUAAAAUAGUUCUAAAAUUUACAUUACUCUAUCUAUCUUAACCAAAUUCGGCAUGGUGACUUAGUUUUAAAUGUGCUACAAGGUAGUAAGAUAAAAAGUUAGCAUUUUUGAUAGGAAAGGUGAAAAAAGGCACAUGUGACAUUAUUAACCGUCAAAUCCCAGAUUAACUUUGUCGGAAGAGUUAGAUCCAACAAUGUUAACUGGACUUGGUAUUAUAAAUUUUGUUGGUAGUGGGAGAUUCAACAAUGAUCACUGAACUUAGUACUCAAAAUUUUGUCGGAAGUGGGAAAUCCUGCUAUUUUAAGUGGACUUUAUAUUCUUUACGAUGUCGGAUUUAUGCUUUCCUGAAUAAAUUUUUCCAUGAAAA